AAAGGGCGCGCGGUGGAUGCCUAGGCGUCGAGAGGCGAUGAAGGACGUGGACAGCUGCGAAAAGCUUCGGGGAGCUGCUAACAAGCGUGGAUCCGGAGGUCUCCGAAUCGGGAAACCGGAUAGGUCAACACCUAUCAACCUUUGGCUGAAUACAUAGGCCAUCGGUGGCUAACCCGGGGAACUGAAACAUCUAAGUACCCGGUGGAAAAUAAAUCAAACGAGAUUCCCUCAGUAGCGGCGAGCGAACGGGGAAAAGCCUAAACCGUCCCAGGUUUCUGGGGCGGGGUCGUGGGACACUCUAUAGGGAGUGAGUUCGGUAGCAGAACGGUCUGGGAAGGCCGGCCAGAGAGGGUGACAGCCCCGUACGCGAAACUGAAUGACCUCCUCGAGUGCACCCGAGUACCACGGGGCACGUGAAACCCUGUGGGAAUCUGGGGGGACCAUCCUCCAAGGCUAAAUACUCCUGACUGACCGAUAGUGAACCAGUACCGUGAGGGAAAGGCGAAAAGAACCCCGGCGAGGGGAGUGAAAAAGAACCUGAAACCGUGUACGUACAAGCAGUGGGAGCACCCUGUGGGGUGUGACUGCGUACCUUUUGUAUAAUGGGUCAGCGACUUAUAUUCUGUAGCAAGGUUAACCGAAUAGGGGAGCCGAAGGGAAACCGAGUCUUAACUGGGCGUUAAGUUGCAGGGUAUAGACCCGAAACCCGGUGAUCUAGCCAUGGGCAGGUUGAAGGUUGGGUAACACUAACUGGAGGACCGAACCGACUAAUGUUGAAAAAUUAGCGGAUGACUUGUGGCUGGGGGUGAAAGGCCAAUCAAACCGGGAGAUAGCUGGUUCUCCCCGAAAGCUAUUUAGGUAGCGCCUCGUGAACUCAUCUCCGGGGGUAGAGCACUGUUUCGGCUAGGGGGCCAUCCCGGCUUACCAACCCGAUGCAAACUGCGAAUACCGGAGAAUGUUAUCACGGGAGACACACGGCGGGUGCUAACGUCCGUCGUGAAGAGGGAAACAACCCAGACCGCCAGCUAAGGUCCCAAAGUCAUGGUUAAGUGGGAAACGAUGUGGGAAGGCCCAGACAGCCAGGAUGUUGGCUUAGAAGCAGCCAUCAUUUAAAGAAAGCGUAAUAGCUCACUGGUCGAGUCGGCCUGCGCGGAAGAUGUAACGGGGCUAAACCAUGCACCGAAGCUGCGGCAGCGACACUAUGUGUUGUUGGGUAGGGGAGCGUUCUGUAAGCCUGCGAAGGUGUGCUGUGAGGCAUGCUGGAGGUAUCAGAAGUGCGAAUGCUGACAUAAGUAACGAUAAAGCGGGUGAAAAGCCCGCUCGCCGGAAGACCAAGGGUUCCUGUCCAACGUUAAUCGGGGCAGGGUGAGUCGACCCCUAAGGCGAGGCCGAAAGGCGUAGUCGAUGGGAAACAGGUUAAUAUUCCUGUACUUGGUGUUACUGCGAAGGGGGGACGGAGAAGGCUAUGUCAUCCGGGCGACGGUUGUCCCGGUUUAAGCGUGCAGGUGUGUGCUCCAGGCAAAUCCGGAGCGCUUUAACACUGAGGCGUGAUGACGAGGCACUACGGUGCUGAAGUGACAAAUGCCCUGCUUCCAGGAAAAGCCUCUAAGCAUCAGGUAACACGAAAUCGUACCCCAAACCGACACAGGUGGUCAGGUAGAGAAUACCAAGGCGCUUGAGAGAACUCGGGUGAAGGAACUAGGCAAAAUGGCACCGUAACUUCGGGAGAAGGUGCGCCGGUGAGGGUGAAGGACUUGCUCCGUAAGCUCAUGCCGGUCGAAGAUACCAGGCCGCUGCGACUGUUUAUUAAAAACACAGCACUGUGCAAACACGAAAGUGGACGUAU
rnacentral:rRNA from 1 species